UUGAUUUAGGGUUUUCUGAUAAAAUGCAUAUGGAUAUACUAUACUUUUUAAUAGUAUUUUAAAAAGAUAAUAAUGGCAUUUUGAAAAAUAAUGUAUCAUUAAUUCAUUAGUAAGUAUAAACUUCAAAAUGUUGCACGAUAAUAAUACUUAAAUGUUCCAAAAAUAAAGUGUACAAAAUUCAGUGAAGUCAAGUUCUCUCAACCCCUUUUAAAAUUAUAAAAAGUUAGGAUCUAAAGAAAGUAGAAGGAAGAAAACCAUAAGAAUAUCAACAGAAUCAGGAAUAAAAAAUAGAAAGGAUAAGCAAUGUUAAAAACUGGUUCUCUGAAAAGAUCCACUGAGACUAAUAAAAUACAAAAAGAAAAAGUUAUGGCAAAAGCAGGGAAAAAAGGACAAAACAAUACUAGAAAUAAAAAAACGGGGCCUACAGAGACUAGACAAUUGAACAUUCUGAAAACUUUAUGACAAUAAAUUUGAAAAUAAAAUACAUAAAAUAAAUUCCUAGAAAAAGUCAACUUACCAAAACUGACUCAGGAAAAGUAUCUAAUAAGCACAGACCAUCAAGAAAAUGUAAUCAGUUAUCAAUAAUGAAAACCACAGUGAAAUAAUGAAAAUCCUAGGCCCACAUCAGUUUAUAGGUAAAUCCUAUCAAAUAAGAGAAACACAAUUCUGACUUUAUUCCAGAGUACAGAGGAAAGGGGGGCACCCCCUGGUUCAUUUUAUUAGGCUAGCAAAGCCUUAACAGCAAAAGCAGACAAGGAGAGUUUCAGAAAAUAAUUUUCAGCCUAAGCUCAUUCAUUAACACAGAUUCCCCAAAUCCUUAAGAGUUUUAGCGUACUGAACUCAGCAAUAUAUAAAGAAUAUAUUAAAUCAAUGGAAAAAGUGAGCUCAUUGCAGUAAUUCAAAUUGUGUUAAUUUCAGAAAAAUUGGUAUAAUUAAUCCCAUGAAUAGAUUUAUGGAAAAGAAUGUAAAAUCUCAGUUAAGUGUGAAUGGAGCAUUCACAGAAUUCAAUAUCCAUAUAUGAGAACACUCCUAAAAAGUCAGAUUUUGCUGAUAGUCUGAUAAAAGAAAAAUACAUUUGAAAGUAUGAAGACUGGAAAUGAGUCAUUUACAGAUUAUAUAUAUCUGUGUGUGUGUAUAUAUAUAUAUAUCCCCCCAAAUCUAUAAAGCUUAGUGGAUUUUAAACAGAAUCUAGCAAGGCUAGUGGUUACAAAAUCAAUAUAGUCAUUUGCACUUCCAUAAGAAGCUCAUAAAAAUCUCUAAAAGUUCUCAUUUACAAUAGCAUCGAAAUUAAAAGUAUAGGAUUAAAUCUUAGGUAAGUUAUGUAAGUCCUUUAUAAAGGAAAACAUAAAACUAUCAAAAAAAUUUAAAGAGAAACUAGCUAAAAUGGAAAGCUAUACAAUGUUCUUCAAUAGGAAGAUGGAAUAUUAUAAAGAUGUUAAUUCCCCUGAAACUGGUGCACAGACUCAGUGCAGCCCCAAUAACAAUUCCCAAAGCUCCCCAUUCUCUGUAAGCUCACUCUACAUUUACAAUGGAAGAACAAAGGACUAAGAACACUCAUGAAAAGACUUUCCGCAUCAGAUACUUGGACUUUUGAAGACAGUGCUGCACGGGUGCAGAUAUCAACAAACAGAACCUGGAAAAAAAUCAGGAAACCUAGAAACAGAUCCACAGAAGCUUGACCUAGGACAGAAGGGACAUUGGGGAUUGGGGAGAGAGAGAAGGAAAAAACCGGCCACUAAAUUAGAUGAACUAUCUGUAACACAACUGAAAAACCAUUAGUAUCUGGCACAUUGAGUACAUCUAGAAAAAGAAAAACCCCAUAGGAAAAUUGAGCAGGAAUUUCAAAGAGGAAACACAAAUGUCCAAUAAACAUAUAAAAACAUGUAAUUUAGAAAAUUACAAAUUCAAGUCAUAGUAAAAAUCCCAUCCACACGCACCAGAUUUGUAAGAAUUAAUGGCAAAAAGAACAAAAACUGUUGAGGGUCUGGGUGAAAAAGAUGAAGGAAUUAAGAAGUACAAAUUGGCAGUUACAAAACAGUCAUGGGAAUGUGAAUACAACACAGGGAAAAUACUCAAUAAUAUUUUAAUAACUAUGUACGGUGCCAGGUGGGUACUGGAAAUAUUGGGGGGAAUCAAUGCCUAAGUUAUAUAAAUACCUAAUCACUAUGCUGUACACCUGAAAUCAAUACAAAAUAAUAUUGAAUGUAAACUGUAAUAAAAAUAAAUUUAAAAAAGUAAAAAAAAAACCCCAAAACCUAAAAGGCCAUUAACCAUGAAACAGGUAACCUACAGUAUACAUAUUUUGCACAAUAAAAUACAGUUAAAGAAAUCCAAUAGGGAAUUGGUUUCAAAAUCAUAACAUCUAACAAAAGAAGUUACAUAAUUCCCAGAGAAUUCACCUAUUUAGAAAAAUUUAAAAACAGGUAUAAAUUAUACUGAUACACAUUUUAUAAACUCUUUUGAAUGUAUAAAAUCUGUACCAAUUUAACAGCAAAAAGUUUCUAAAUUUUAGAAUCUUUUCUAAAAUUCUUUUGUUUAUGCAGUUUCAAUUCUGUAAGGGAUUGAACCUAAAUAUUCUCUGUUGCAGAAUAUUCUGGGCACUGUGUUGCAGGAUAACCAUCUGGGUGAGAUAAAAAGAUUCUUUUAUUUGUUUGUUUUUACUUGUGGCAGUUUCUUUCAUUUAUCCUUUUACCUGAAAUAUGAAAUAUGACAUCUAAAUACUUAGUUUUUAAAAUGUCUCUAUAAUGUCCUUAGAAGAGUACCACAUAAUAACAACUAUGGUCAAAAAUUAAAAUCAAGUAAGUUAUCUUUUCCCACAAUCUACAUCUUUUUCGACAUUUCCUGUUUCUGCCGAUCCUAUCCUUACUCUCUCAAUCACCCAAAAUGGGAACUCUGUUCAGUUACUCCAACUCUUCAUUUCCUCUCCCUGCAACUUGCUUUGAGACUACCUGCUUAACUGCCCCUCUCCCUGCCAAUUCCCUUUCUAUCUCUGUCGUUUCAAGUCCUUACUGCUGCUCUCACCCAGUCAUCUAAAAAGUUGCAGGACAUUUUAGUGAUGUUCUUUCCCAUGAAUGAUAAAGUUGGGGGGGUUUUUGGAGAUCAUCUAUUCCAAUCCCCUAGAAAAGCAGCCAGCUGCUUAAAUUCCCAAAAUUCAGUGUUCUUACCACUCAUUACUUGUCUUAUCGAAACCCAUGCAUUUUCUCCCAGUCUUAACUAAAGUGUAUGUGACCAGUGGUCAACUUAAUACUCUUUUGGAUAUAUUUUAAUUUUUUUCUUUGGAUGAAUUUUUAAUGGUCACUGUAUUUUUGUCUCUCUUAAAACAAUUUGCUUAAUGGGAAAGAUCUUUGUUCAUUAAGAAAGAAAAGUUUUUAACUGUUUAUAGUUUACAAAGCUUAGUUUGGGAAGGAUGCAGCUUAAAAUUAAGCUAAGAAUGUGGUCUUUCCAGGCAGCAACUAAGUAUCAAAUAGAAUGAUUACAAAAAUACUAUACACCUACCAUUCCCAAACAAUGCUAAUGCUCUACAUUUCAAACGUGCACUAUUUAAAUCUAACUUAAUUUUGGAAAUGGUCAGCAAGUUUCUGGAAGAUAUCCCUGGGAAGAGCACAGCCGUCCAUAAUGAUCUCUAACUUAACUAAGGUACCAGUCUUUCUCAUGUCCCAUAGGGCAGAGUUCUACUUCUUUGGUCUGGACUUCAAAGCCCAGUUUUCAGAGGCUCAUAAUUUUGGUUCAAGAUCCCCAGGUAAAGCUGCUUUCGAAACCUGAUUUUUAAGGAAGAAUACAUUUGACUCUACUAAUGGAACAAAGCCAUUUUUAAGAGUUGGCCUUGGGCUAAAGAGAGGAAAAUUUGACAACAGUACUGCCAUACCAGGUAUGAGAUUAUCACAGACAGACCAGGAUAAGGAGAGUUACAUGCCUAGUGAUCACGCGACUGAGUGCAGUCUCUGCAGUGGAUCAGCAACUAAGUUAUGUCACUGGCUGAAGUGACUUACGUGGAAGUGCAACAACUGAUAUGCAAGGAGCAGAAUCGUCAAUACUCUGAUCAUCCUCAGAAGACAAACAAAGCCUUUUAUGUGGAGGUUCAGUACUAUCUUCUGAGUCUAUUUCAUCAGCUUCUGAUGAAACAAAACAAAACAGAAAUCUCAAAACGUUCAAAACAGUGAGGAAAACAGAAAAUCUUCAAGUAAUGACUGUAAAACAAUCUUCUUACCAAUUGUGGGACUUCAUUAAACCCAGACACAAAAGUGGGACUCCAAACACUAUUUCCUUCUCUAUGUCUAGUGCAGUACCUCAGCUCUCAUUCUCAUGACAAGGAACUAUGACAAACAUGCCAUUUUUUGGACAUCAUAUUUUUGUCAACUACCUGGUUUUCCAAAUAUUUCACAUGUAAAGACAUGCAAAAACCACGAUAUUUAAUUUACUCACAAAUUUACUGAAUGCUUACUAUAUGGUAGAUGCUGGGACAAGAGCAAUGAGAGACACCCUGUCAAAGAGCUCACUGAGGUGACUAAAUUAACAAUUUUAAAAUAGUAUAAUAAGAGCUAUGAAGGUAGAAUAAAGAGGCUGUGGUUAUGAGCUGACGGGAAAGGCACUGUAAUUUAGACUAGAGGUGAGGGAAGGUUUCCUGGAGAACAUGUUUUCAACUUAAAAGGGAAACAGAGCCAGGGAAAGUGAUUAUUACUGUUAGUAGGAGUAGUGUGUACAGUGACAGUAAGGUAUGAAAAGCUUGCGGUAUGUUAGGAAAGUACAAAUAAAUAACCGUGAACUAGUGGAACACGACAUGUGAAACAUGGCAGGAAGUGAGGCAGAAGGAAAGCUAAGAUGAUGGGAGGCCUAUGUGCCAAAUGAAAGAAUCUGAAUUAUAGUCUAAAAACCAUGGUAAGCUUUAAAAACCUUCUUACACUGUUGAGUAUCAUAACCAAUAUGUCUCUGAAGUUUGAAAGAUGAAUUAGAGACAAGAGACUGGUUAAAAGGCUAUUAAAGCUACCCACGUAAGGGGUAGCUAAGGAAGGAACUAAGGAAGGAAGACUUGAGACAGAGAGGAAGGAACUGAUUCAAGAAACAUAAUUCUAUCAACUACCUUGAUGAUGGAACGAAUGUGGGCGAUGAGAGGACUUACUCCUACCUGUAUUUAUGAUCUAGGAUACUAAAAGUAAUAAAAUUGAGAAAGGAAGGGAGAUCUAGAUUUGAGAAUUCUGUGAAAGAAUUCAGUUUGGGAUAUGCAACAUUAAAGGUGGUUCUCAGAAACAGAAUUCAGAAAAAAGACAUAAGUUUGAAUCAUUUUAACAUGUAGGGGGUAGUUAAAACCGCAAGUUUGAAUGAAAUGACCUAGGAAUUAAGAAUGGAUUGAAAAGAGAAGACAAAAUCUAGGUUAAGCAAAAGUGAAUUUAAAGUAAAUUAAACAAAUAAGUUAUAAAUAAGAAAAAGGUAGAGAAAUGAAUUCACAAGCCCCAAGGCCGCUGAAUCUUAAUUCCUUACAUAUGAUCAUAUAAAACCAUAUUCAGAUAGUCACUUAAAAUUCUCUAACACAGGUUCUAGCAAAAAAAAAAAAAAAAAAAAAAAGGUUAAUUUAUUUGUAUUGGCACAACAUGACUACCUCUACGUUUUGUAAUAUACCACAUAUACUCUGGUGAGGAAGUAUAUUAUAUCUAAUCCAUCACCAUUUUAGGAGGCUCAACAGAGUCUACUUAUAAAGUAGCUGUUCAUAAAAGGUUAAAAUUUAUGGUAAAUUAAAAAAUGUAUCAAAAGCUCUUAAAAAUAAAAAUUAUGAUUAAUUCAUGAUCUAAAGAAAUAACUUUCUUUUCUACCGUCCUAGCCUAAAGUGUCUAUCUGCAGAAUAAAGGUCAGAGGUGACAUAAAAUCAAGAAAUCCACGAAGAUUCUAAUUAUGUCUGCGAGUUCUUUUACCAUUCUGAGGGCAGUGAAGAAUGAGGUUCCCGUCUGUAUCUCGAGUCAAAGUUACAGAGUUCACAGUUUCUACUGUUACUGAGUCAGAAUCCUCUUCAACUGUGCUCAUACUCAAAUCUGUACAAGAACAAAUUUCAGAUUAGAAUUGUAAGAAUUAUUUCCAGAUACAAACAUGAGGUAGCCUCUAAUUUCCCCUACUUCUCCCUGCUGGUGCAAACCCCAUAAUUUGUACCUGCCUACAGUGUUCUUUAUGUGAAAUUGCAGUAACAGUUUCGACUUCAAGCAAUGGUUUUUAAAAGUUUAUACCCACUAUUUAGAAUAAUCUGUACGAAUUGACUGUUAUGACUAAGUAGAAACCCACAGUAUUCACUUUUUCAAGAGUUGUUCUUUACCACACACAGCAGAAGUUGUCACCUGUCAGCAAGUCUCACCAUUUUAUUUUUUACUGGCAGCUCUAUCAUAUAUUUAAAUGUUUAACUUCUGAUUCUUUAGAAGAUUCAUCAAAGCUUUUAUCUUAAUCUAAGAACUGCUUCUCUAAAACACUCGUUUACAAGUAUUUAAGCUCUGUUAUCUGACAAGUAGAAACACUAAAUAAUUCUUCUUAAAGUUUUUUUCAUUAACAUUAAGCAAGUACAUAGAGCCAGCAUUGAGGAAACUGCUUUUCUAACAGAGAUGGAGCCAGGCCUUCUUCUGAAAGGGAACUGUUUUUGUUUAAGCUGUUUUCCACAUAUAAUAUUUUUCCUUUUGUUGAUCAGUCGUUGAAUAUAGUAUUCAUGGUGGACAGGGAGAAACUUACUGAAUUACAAUCCAUGGCCUGGUUGAAGUCUUCAGGCUUACCUUACAAUGUUCAAUGAAGUUUCUGCUUCAAUACUUAAUUUUGGUCUUACCCACAUAAUUUUUUACCAAUUACCAUAAUAAAGGACAUAGCCUUGAUGUGUAUUAAAUUAAUCACUCAUUAUUUAUUUGACUCCUAUACAAAAGAUAUCAGUGUGUUCAUAUAUUUGCCACUUACACAAAUGCAUUUUCCUUACACAGAAAAACACAGAAUUGAUUAGACUCUAUUAACAUUUACAUGGUGAACACCCAUGUGAUUCACGAAAGUUUUACUGUACAAAUUACUGUUUUAAAAGGAUAUCAUUUACUUUACAAUGAUAAAGAUGCCAUUCCCAAAUUAAAUAGAAAUAGAAAUCAUGAUCUAGUCAUGAUUAAAAUGUGCAUAUCCUGAGGUGAGAUCUUUAGAACAGAGGCAGGCUUACCUGGAAAACAGAUGGAUCAGCUAUAUCCCUUCCCACGGAAACAAGUCGCCUCCCCUUAGCCACCAGCAUCACUCUCAUGUUAUCCGGACUGUCUCUCCCCCAUGCUCCUACUGCUGCAGCACUGAAAAAGGAACAGCAUUGCCCAGUAAGGCUUGUAGAACACGUGUAUGCUGACAAUAUGCUGAUGACAGAAAAAUGACAAAACCCGCAUUCGUAGGUUUACCUUUAGGAAAUCAGCCUCUAAAAGUAUUCCCAAUAAAAGCAGAAAUGAUGAGAUCCCUAUACCCAUUGAGUUAAUUUCAAAGGCAGUUUCUCAACCCAGUUGUCCCUCAUCAGUCAAACAUUCUUGCCAACCAUGGGUUGAACUAUGCUAGUGGUUCUAUGAACUACAGACUUAGGUACAUGUAACAAGACCCAGGGGGUACAGCAAUACAUUACCAUAAAUAUUACCAGUAUUUUUUCAUUCAUUCAUUCAUUAUUUAUUAGAAGGGAAGGGAGGAAGAGAGGAAAAAAACAUUCAUCGGUUGCCUGUCUACAAGUGUCCCCUGAGUGGGAGUUUAACCUUUUCCUGUGUGGGAUGACGCCCAACCAACUAAGCCACACUGGUCUGGGCACCAGUAUCUGUUCUUUGUAAUAAUUAACACCUGAGAGCAACUGACACCUUGCUCCUCCUAUAUGUCAUCAGUUUGGCUGAAAUAAACUCUUACAAAAAUUCAAAAAGAAAAAAAACACAAAACACUGCUCUUUACAUAAUACCAUAUUGCAUCUCAGAGUGUUAAAAAUAUAUGGUAUCUGUGAGCAACAGUGACUAGGGAUCUGUGGGGGGAAAAGUCCUAAACAGGCUAGAAAAGGUAAGUCACAAGCAAGCUUUCAAAUGAAACGUGGAACUUAUAAAGCCUGAAAUGAUUGGUUUUUGAAGGUUUGUUUUAAUAACCUUCUCAUCUUCAUCCCAAAGGGUCAACCAAAAGUUCAAAAGCAUACUCAGUGAGAUUUGAGGCUCAAGAUGGAUGUUUCAGCAGAAAUUAAGGAUUAAAAUUCCAAUCUUUGGAGUGUUCUAAUAACACCUGUCCAGGAUGGUUAUAUCUGAGAAUUGCUAUACAUAAGUAAGUCUGCAGUGAAAAAGGUAUAGGUCUUGCUAGAAAACCUUCAGCCAGCUGUUGUAUUCAUGUUGUUCUUUUUUUUUUUUUUUUAAAGCUGGUUUGUAUAUUUACAGCAGAAGAAAAAUUUAAUGAAAAAAAAAACCCUAAAAUCAUUUAUAAAUUUACCAAAACCAGAGUUCACUGUCUUUGGUGUGUGGGUGUGAGGGAGACUAUAGUGGAUGAGGAAUUUUAUGUCCAGUUUUUUAGGAUUCCUUCAUACUGAGGUAUGUGAAGGAAACCAAGAUGGGUCUUUAACUGAAGUAUUCUGUAUGGUUUAAAACUUACACUGCACACACACAAAAAGUAACAUUAUUUACCAGUUACUCUAUCAUUGGAUAUUUAUGUUCUUCCCAAUUUUUCAUUUCCUUAAGAAAUACUGAAACAAACACCCUAUUUCCUUAAACAGUAUCAGUGAAAAUUAGAUCAAUGAACAUGAAAAUAAAUGAAGUCUUAAGUCCUACUACCAUCUGUUUUCCAGAAAGAUGCACAAAUUUAUAUCCCAAUCACUGAUGUGUAAACUCUACUCCUGUUACCCUUGCCAGUAUUUUUAUUUAAAGAAACCGCAAAGCAAAAACACAGCACAACUGCUCGUUUGAUAGGUGCAAAAUGGUUUACUGGUUUAGCAUUUAGUUAAUGUCAUCUUGGGACCCAAGCUAAUCUAAAACUUUGGAGGGAAAAAUAAAGGUGGAUCAGAGAAGACACGGAGAGAAAGUAGUGCAAGGAAAAAGGAACAUGAAAUAGCUAGAUGAAAGAAAGUACAGUUCUACCCUGCUAUCUGAAAGUACAGGGUUCCAAUGAAACCUUUAGUAAGCUAAAGUGGCGUAAAAGCAGAGAAACAAUUACCAUUAAUUUACAUGAAAAAAAUUUUUAGCAUUCCUAGACCCAGAAAAUAACCACCAAAUCAUGCCAAAUACAGGCAUAUCUUGUUUUAUUGUAUUUACUGCUCUUGUCGUAGAUACUGCUCUUUAAAAAAAACAAAACAACAGAAGGUUUGCAGUGACUAUGUUGAGCAGUUUGAUCAGUGCCAUUUUUGCCAGCAGUGAUUUGCUUACAUCAUGUCAGUGUCACAUUUUGGUAAUUCUUACCAUGUUUCAAACCUUUUCAUUAUUAUAUUUGUUAUGGUGAUCUGUAAUCAGUGAUCUCUGGCAUUAUUAUUGAAUUGUUUUGGGGUGCCAUCAACUGUACCGUUGUAAGACAGCAAACUUAAUCGAUAAAUGUGUGUUCUGACUGCCCCACCACUGGCUGUUCCCCCCCUUUUCCCUCUCCUCAGGCCUAUUUAUUCAGAGACACAAUAUCGAGAUGAGGAUAAUUACUAACCUCUACAACGGCUGCUAAGUGUUAAAGGAAAGAAGCAUAGUAGGACUGCUCUGCCUUGGCGGCCGCUCGUUACCCUACUCUGCAGCCCAAGCCAGCACCACAGGCCCAGCCCCAAGAGGGAGGC